GUCCUGGUUCACACCCAGAGGAACCAGCUUGGUCCUGGGCAGCCACUGCCGACUCAGAGUCUGAGCUGCUCCGGGGAAGGCUGCAGUCAUUACGGUAUACCAAGAAACUCUUCUUCACUGGUUGGUUUCCACCGCUGAAGCCAUUGGCUGUCUACCUGAACGAUGUCCCGCUCUGCGUAGCGUCCCCUAGAGGACACGCGCACAUCAUCACCGUCCAACUCUUCCAUUG
rnacentral:lncRNA from 1 species